rnacentral:rRNA from 1 species
UACGAAGGGGGCUAGCGUUGCUCGGAAUCACUGGGCGUAAAGCGCACGUAGGCGGUCUUUUAAGUCAGGGGUGAAAUCCUGGAGCUCAACUCCAGAACUGCCUUUGAUACUGGGAGACUUGAGUCCGGGAGAGGUGAGUGGAACUGCGAGUGUAGAGGUGAAAUUCGUAGAUAUUGGGAAGAACACCGGUGGCGAAGGCGGCGCUCUGGACCGAGACUGACGCUGAGGCGCGAAAGCGUGGGGAGCAAACAGG